rnacentral:lncRNA from 1 species
UUAAUAGUGACAUGUGACUGGAUUCCAUCCAAUGGGAGUGCGGAGGAAAUGAUGGAUGCCACAUCACCACAUCAGAGCUGAAAUGGUUAAGAAAUGAAUGUGAUUUCUAAUAGAGAAGGCGGAAAUGAGUCUAAGACCAUAAGGCAUAUGAGCCACAAAAUGGAAGGAAAAUGGGUUCCUGGAACACUACAAGACUACAAAUAAAUACCUAAGGUGGAUUGUUAUCUCCCUUGUGAAGAAGGAUGUGUUUACUUCCCCCUCUGCCAUGAUUGGAAUAUGAAGAGCUCACAUUUUACACAGGACCAGAAUUUCUUCUCUCUAGUAUUUUCACUGGAGCAUCAUUGAGUUCUCCAACUCUGAAACAGCCUGCUUCAAGAACCACCAAAUCCACAGCCUGUAUGAAAGCUGCUUCUUCCAACCUCAGCAGUGUCAAAAGACUGGACACCAGCUGGAUUUGAGGUCCCAUCAGCUUUUGGGGACCUCUCCAGCCCACCGGCAUCAACACUAUUAUUAUUUUCAUUUUACCAUAAUGGAAAUGGAAGUGUAGAAAAAACAAGAAAAUUGUGUACCUAACUCUCCAUGGUAACCUCUCUCACUUUUUAUUAUUCAAUUAUUCAAUAAAUAUUGAUUGAGCAUUUAUAUAUGUGGUGAGUACAAUUCUAGACACUGGAUACAUGAUUUUAUGUAUGCUUAUGGGUGUCAUAUAAUAACACAUAUCAACCAUCUGGUUUUCUGUUAUUCAUUCACAAAAGCAAACUUUUUCUCACAUUCCAUAAAUGUGAGAAAUUUGAUGGGAAUGUCCUUAGUAUGGAAAAUCUAUUGAUGCGAGGAUAAAUGUAAUAUCUGAUAGGGUUCUGAUAUGAAAAAUAAGCCCAUGAAAGUACUGGGCCAUUGCACUCUUCAGAAAGCUUCUGAUAUCAGCUGCACCUAACUCCUGAUUAGCCGUCAUUCCUGGUAUCUUCUACAGCCUCCUUAGGCUACAACCAUCAAGCUGCUGAGAGAAGUACCGGAGGGCAAACACUUUGUGCAGGUGCAAAUGAUGUACAAAAAGCUGGUAUAUACUUAAAGUGCAACUUGAUGAUUUUGGAGAAAAAUAUAUUAUCUAUGACACCAUCACAAAUAUAUAUCUGUGACACCAUCACCACAAUUAAUGCCAUAAACAUAUCCAUUGUCUCCAAAAGUCUCCUCUAUAUUAUUAUUAUUAUUUUAUUUUAUUUCUGUGAUAAGAACACAAGAUAAGAUCUACUCCCUAAGUGAAUUUUUAAGUGUACGGUACAGUAUUGUAAACUAUAGAAAUUGUUGAAGUAAAGAGUCAAACUCUGUAAAAUAUUUGAAAAGGUUUAUUCUGAGGCAAAACAAGUGACCAAUGGCCCAGGACACAGCCCCCGGGAGAUCCUGAGAACACGUGUUCAAAGUGGUUGGGCAACAGCUUGAUUUUAUGCAUUUUAGGGAGAUAUAAGAUGUCAGUUGAUACAUGUAAGAUGUAUGCUGAGUUUGUCCAGAAAGGCUUGACAACUGGAAGUGGGGGCUUUCAGGUCAUAGACAGAUUCAAAGAUUGUCUGAAGGGGAAUCGGUUAAAAGAGUUAUUAUUUAGAGACCUGGAAUCAAUACCAGGGAAUAUCUGGGUUGCCGUAAGAGGAUGUGGAGACCAAGAUCUUAUCAUGCAGAUGAAGCCUCCAGGUAGUAGACAUCAGCAAGAAUAGAUUUUAAAUGUUUCUUAUCAGACUUAUAGUGUCUAUUCUGUCAGGCUUAUGGUCUCUGUGUUGAUGUUAAUGUUGUUCAUCUGUGAUGAAUGUGCAACCUUCACUUUCCAUCAUGGCCUGAACCAGUUUUUCAGGUUAACUUUGGAAAGCCCUUGACCAAGAGGAGUGAUCCAUUCAGAUAGUUGGGAAGGCCAGGGGGGUGGUGCUUAGAAUUUUAUUUUUGGUUUACAAAACUAUACUGUACAUAGUAUCUCUAGAAAUUAUCUUUAUUUCAUAAAUGACACUUCACACCUGUUGACCAAUAGCACCUCAUGCCUUGUGUCUCCAGCCUCCAGAAACCACCAUUCUACCCUUUGGCAGGUUUUGUCCAGCUUCUUUUCAACAUCUUAUUUUAUCAGCCAGGUCUUUGUGACCUGUAUCUUGUGAAACCAGUCCUGCUGGAACUCCUAUCUCAUUUGGAGAGUAGCUUGAAAUCUUCAUAUGGGCAUGAAAUAUCUUGUGAUUGGCAAAAUUCAAGGACAAUUUCAGGAAUGUCAGGAAAGCACUAAAAAGACAAAGGAGUUUCUAAUGGCCAGGUGAUAACCUUUGCAUCAGUAAUCAUUGAUAAUAAUUUUAUAGUUGUUUAUGAACUAUCAUUGACUUAUAUUAAUAUGCAAAAUGUUAAAUCUAAUAUGAAGUAUGAAAGUAAUUUUUAUUGUUACAUAAUAAUUGUACAUAUUUAUGGGAUACAUGUGAUAUUUUGAUACAUGCACAUAAUGUGUAAUGAUUAAAUCAGGGUAUUUAGGAUAUCUAUCAUCUAAAAUAUUUACCAUUUUCUUGUUGGGAAACAUUUCAAAUUUCCUCUUCUAGCUAUUUUCAAAUAUACAACACACUGUUGUUCACUAUAGUCACCCUACUGUGCUAUGAGUCAGUAGAACUGAUUCAGUCCCUCUAAGUCUAUGUUUGUACCCAUUAACUAACCUUUCUUCACACAACCCUUCCCCCACUGCUCUUCCCAUCCUCUGGUAACCAUUGUUUUACUCUCUACUUCCACGAGACAAACCAUUUUAGCUUCCACACGUGAGUGAGAGUAGGUGAUAUUUGCCUUUCUACCUGGUCUAUUCACUUGACGUAAUGAUCUCCAGUUUCAUACAUGUUGCAGCACAUGAAAGAAUUUCUGCUUUUAUGGUUGAAUAGUGCUCCUCUGUGUAUGUGUAUCACAUUUUCUUUAUUCCUUCAUCUUUUGAUACACAUUUAAGUUGGGUCCCUGUCUUUGUUAUUGUGAACAAUGCUGAAAUAAACAUGGGGGUACAGAUAUUCAUUUGCAAAAAUGUGAUUAUAAUAUAAAAGGUGGUGAAAAUGAUUUAUAAUAAAAUGUGAAUGUAAUAAAG